AGCGGGAACGAAACGGUCGAUCCUAAUACGGUCGGCUAAUGACGGUACCUGCAGAAGAAGCACCGGCUAACUACGUGCCAGCAGCCGCGGUAAUACGUAGGGUGCGAGCGUUAAUCGGAAUUACUGGGCGUAAAGCGUGCGCAGGCGGUGACAUAAGACAGAUGUGAAAUCCCCGGGCUCAACUGCGAACUGCGUUGGAGCUGUGUGGCUCGAGUGUAGCAGAGGGGGGUGGAAUUCCACGUGUACAGUGAAAUGCGUAGAGAUGUGGAGGAACACCGAUGGCGAAGGCAGCCCCCUGGGUUAACACUGACGCUCAUGCACGAAAGCGUGGGGAGCAAACAGGAUUUUAAGAUACCCUGGUAGUCCACGCCCUAA
rnacentral:rRNA from 1 species